rnacentral:rRNA from 1 species
GCAGUCGAGCGAGCAGAACCAGCAGAUUUACUUCGGUAAUGACGCUGGGGACGCGAGCGGCGGAUGGGUGAGUAACACGUGGGGAACCUGCCCCAUAGUCUGGGAUACCACUUGGAAACAGGUGCUAAUACCGGAUAAGAAAGCAGAUCGCAUGAUCAGCUUAUAAAAGGCGGCGUAAGCUGUCGCUAUGGGAUGGCCCCGCGGUGCAUUAGCUAGUUGGUAAGGUAACGGCUUACCAAGGCAAUGAUGCAUAGCCGAGUUGAGAGACUGAUCGGCCACAUUGGGACUGAGACACGGCCCAAACUCCUACGGGAGGCAGCAGUAGGGAAUCUUCCACAAUGGACGCAAGUCUGAUGGAGCAACGCCGCGUGAGUGAAGAAGGUUUUCGGAUCGUAAAGCUCUGUUGUUGGUGAAGAAGGAUAGAGGUAGUAACUGGCCUUUAUUUGACGGUAAUCAACCAGAAAGUCACGGCUAACUACGUGCCAGCAGCCGCGGUAAUACGUAGGUGGCAAGCGUUGUCCGGAUUUAUUGGGCGUAAAGCGAGCGCAGGCGGAAGAAUAAGUCUGAUGUGAAAGCCCUCGGCUUAACCGAGGAACUGCAUCGGAAACUGUUUUUCUUGAGUGCAGAAGAGGAGAGUGGAAUUCCAUGUGU